CUGAUGGAGCACGCCGCGUGAGUGAAGAAGGUCUUCGGAUCGUAAAGCUCUGUUGCACGGGACGAAAACCGAGCCUGAGAAUAUUGAGUUUGGGUGACGGUACCGAGCGAGGAAGCCACGGCUAACUACGUGCCAGCAGCCGCAAAUAAUAA
rnacentral:rRNA from 1 species